UGGGGAAUAUUGCACAAUGGGGGAAACCCUGAUGCAGCGACGCCGCGUGAGCGAAGAAGGCUUUCGAGUCGUAAAGCUCUGUCCUAUGAGAAGAUAAUGACGGUAUCAUAGGAGGAAGCCCUGGCUAAAUACGUGCCAGCAGCCGCGGUAAUACGUAUGGGGCGAGCGUUGUCCGGAAUUAUUGGGCGUAAAGGGUACGUAGGCGGUUUUUUAAGUCAGGUGUCAAAGCGUGAGGCUUAACCUCAUUAAGCACUUGAAACUGAUAGACUUGAGUGAAGGAGAGGAAAGUGGAAUUCCUAGUGUAGCGGUGAAAUGCGUAGAUAUUAGGAGGAAUACCGGUGGCGAAGGCGACUUUCUGGACUUUUACUGACGCUCAGGUACGAAAGCGUGGGGAGCAAACAGG
rnacentral:rRNA from 1 species